rnacentral:rRNA from 1 species
GUCUACAGCCAUGGCACCCUGAACAAGCCCGAUCCCGUCUGAUCUCGGAAGCUAAGCAGGGUCAGGCCUGGUUAGUACUUGGAUGGGAGACCACCUAGGAAGACCAGGUGCGGUAGGUG